UACCACUGUUUUCUUCGGCGUUUGAUGAAGAAUCCGAAGGAAAACGGGCGACCCAUCACUACGUUUGAAAUUAUGCUGUAGUUGCAACUACCCAUAGUUUCAGGGGAGGUUUCCUCCAUCGACUUCAAAUUUCAUAAUAUCGCUGGCGACUCUUUCUCUGUGCCUUGCUAUUUCUUCAAAAUUCCCCUCUCUGAAAUUAACAGUGGCCAUGGAUAGUGUGUGUCAAAGGAGAAGAGUGAUAAAAUAAUCAUGAGAGACAUUCAAGCAAUCAGAGAUCAAUGUGAUAUUAAUCACAAUGACACCGGUGGAAGUAAGAAUUCGAUGUCGUAAAAAUCUUCGCUAGCAUCUGCAUUUUUUGUGUCUUGACUAGAUUAUGGGGCUAAACCCACCUUUGGUGUCAAGUCUGCUCUUGCAUACAAAUUUAUCGAUAAGGCUCUCACAUUUAGGGCGAAACUUAUUGCUCUUAUUGUUCCUCCAUAGACUGAAAGUUGAUGUACAAUAACGGGACAAGGCAUUUGGUACUUCUACUGAACUCUGUGUUGACGAAAGACAAAGAAUCGCCACAGAUGCAUUAAAAUCUUGCGCUCUCAAACCGUUACAAGCUAGGACACAGCUAAAAUCUUGGAUGUACAGUAUAUUUUCUGGAAUGGAGUUAGACUAUUUGCUUUUCGCUCGCAGAGAAUUAUGGGAGAUGGAGACAAUGGUGGAUCACAUAAAGUGUGACCAUGGUUAUACCGCAGAAAGUCCUCCGAUUAUUAAUGUAUGGUACUUUGAAUUACCCCAUUCCUAUCUUGGUGCUAAAAGAGUGGGAUAUAAUAUAUAUUUUGUUUUGAGGUUUUUUACUUGAGAUCAUGGGGGAAUUCACCCUAGAGCAGCAGCAAGCUUUCCGUCAAUUUGUGAGUGGCUAAGAAGAAUGAAAGGGCACUUACUGAUGGUGGGUAUGAUCAAUGAGGGGCCCCUUGAUCAGCAAAAGCUCAAGCGUCUGAUCAAGCCUAUUGAUGGAAGGUGAGAUCAUAUUGGUUGCUAUUGAGAAUCUUAACAAGGACGGAUUUCAGGUCCUUCCGGCUUUUGUUUAUAUAGGCAGUGUGUUGACGGGACGUGACCAACAGAGUAAUGUGAAAAACACCCACCUUCCUCCUGGUAGCUUGCAAGAAACGUCUCACUAGCUUUUCUCGGCCAGUGGAUCUUGAGAAGUGCAGUGAUAUUCGAGGUGAUUUCAUGAAGUGGGGUUCCCUUGGUUCGUGCAGGAGAUCGAGUUUUGCCUCUGGGUAUGAACCACUAAAAGAAGAACCUUUGGGAUCAAUUAUUGACAUUAGGAAGGCAGUGCUUCAGUCACCUUAGGAUCUUGCAGACAUUUGGGAUGAUGAACUUUGGAUUCAAGCAGAACUCUUGGCAAUUUAAGCACAACCUAAUUUGAUUUUCUGUUGAACUUAUUUGCAGAACUCUAUACAAGGAUGAGUACACAAGCAAGCAAGAUUUUGAGAUAUUCAGAUAGCACUACAACAUUCACGGCAACCCUCUAGAUAUGUCCUCGAAACCGGUGGUUAGUAACAUAGGCCAACUGUAGGAAUCUGCAUUAUUUUCAUGCUGUUUAUUAAAGGAGACUUUAUUUACCUUUGAUUGGUCCAACACGCUAGCAGAUCUGUAUCAACGCAAGCUAUGGCACCAGCUCACUCUCAGGCUUAAUCAAUUUGUAGCCCUGGCUGUUUUUCAGGCAUACAGCUAGAACUCAACAUGACCAGAAUCUGGUCAUGAGCUGAGCAGUGACCUUGAUUAUACAUCAAGAUUAUACAACAUGAUCGUUUGAAGGUAAUCAGAUUCUUGGUGGCAAAACACAGGGGCAUCUUACGCCAUCACAAAGAAGGCUACGUGGUGUUGUCCUGUCUGGUAAACAUUCUAUUAUAAACAGGCAUUUAAAUAUUGGCUAAGAUUGAUUGCAUUGUAACAAGUGCAACAACAGGCAGUGGUGGAAUAUAUAGAAAUAUUAUGAGUUAAUGCCUUUGUUAAAAGGGAAACUGGUUUUCACUCUGUUUACCUGUUCCUGUUAACAUCGAUCCCUUAAAAGAUGUGUUUCCAGUCACAAGUGCGCCUUCUAAGUUAGCAUUAUUCAAAUUGACCUGCAUAAAAGGCCUGUAAGUAGCCGUGUUUUAGUGCCAGAACACCAUUACAAAUUCCUUUUUUCAUAAUUCCUUUUUUGUAGUGUACUUAACAUUUGAUCUGGUAGGAAUCUGUUCAAGCGCGUCCCAAGAUUCAGGUAAAAACAAACAGUACUGCCACCGCACACAUUCAUGUUGUAAUUAGGUGUUACCUGCCUUCUUCCUGUUACAUUAUGUUCAUCAAAAGCCUGAAGAUCGUAACUUCGAUGCAAAUCAUUACGUACUGGAAAUGUCCUACACAUUUUAAAAAUUCUUACUACUGUCUUUUACUAUUUCUUGAUGCUUCAGACUGUGACUUAUCAAUGUGAGGGGAAUUGCAUUUAACAAAACCACUCCUACAUGAGCCUGAGAAAUUAGAAUCACCAUUAUUAGAGUUAUAAAAUACUCGAUAUAUAGGCUACAUUAAAUAAAUAUGCCUUGGACAUUUCGCCCAAUGAUCACGUAGUAUAUAUCAUUCAUUCAAAUAAUGAACAUAGACUUAAAUGAACUUUUCUUAAAUUUAAAGCUGACUAAUCACAGGCUGUGGCUAUGCCCCUGUUGGUGAGCUUGCCCCAUCCAGUAAUAUAUUUAAGGCUUUGAAGUCUCUAUAUAUUACUGAGGUUUGUAAAUCUUAUUAUGCAUGUUUAAUCUUAAGACAUAACAGGUUUUCAAGACAGGCUCGGGACUCAAAGUCGAGCCGGAAUUACACAGAAGGGGUUCAAACCUUCAAGCCAGGCAUCGGGUAUUUUUAGAUCACGUGUUCUUAUUUUCUGAUGCAUAGUUCAAUAUAAUCAUGACUUUUUAAUUUAGACAGCUCAAAGUUAAGUGAUGCAUCUAUAUUGUUAGUGACCCUUAUCAUUAUUUUGUUUGAUUUGAAAGUUUUAUUUAUCUUUUUCUUGAUUAUUGUGAGUGAAGUUUUAUUUAACUUUAUUUAAUUUGCUGAGGUGUGAUGUUGAUGAGUUUGUGGCCAAAUCAUUGGCUCAAUUCCUGUUUAAAUUUGCAUCCACUGUUGAACUUCGAGACUGUGACUUAUGACUUUGAGGAGGAAUUGCAUUUAACAAAGCCACUCCUACUGAUUGUGGUAACAAUGGCAUAGCAGAUAUGUGAAUCUUAUGAUAACCGAGAUAACCGACUAAAAUGAAUAUGUUGCAGAUUCCUGUGAAGUAGAGUGGUAUAUAGCUUUUUACUUUCAACAGUUUUAACCCCCUAAUUUCAAUGAUAUGUAAUGUUUUAAAUCCAGAUCCCGGCGACAUUACUUAACUCUUUGUUCCAAAAGGAUGCUGGCAGUUGUUCAGGGUUAUUGCGAUUCUCACAGCUAAAUUUGUUGAUUCUUGGCCCACAUGAUACGGGAGAGGCAGGGCUUAGAAUGACCAAGUUUGCAUAGAUUUGCUGAGGUUCAAGUGCAGUACUUUCAAGGAUAAAAGAACUAGCUUCUUCAUCGUCUGAGAAACUCAAACAAUUUUAAGAAAACGAUGAGAAGUCGAGGUCCUAGAGAAUGCACAUAAUACUGUGUUGCUGAAAGACAUGGCUCCUGAACCUCUUAGCUACAAUACAAAAGUAUGCGCAUAGAUUUUUUCCCUACAGCUACAUAUUGUAUGCUCAAAACAGAGGAAUAAAGGAUGUUGUAGGAUUGUCAGUUCUGCAUCUACGAGGCAGAUGAAUGGAUUAUGAUGCAGGAUUGUGAGUUCUGCAGGUACCAGGCAGGGAGGGAAAAAUAUCAGCAUGCAAAGAUCAAGUGACCUGAGUAAAUAAGAUUGAGUAAGAAAACCUGUUUUUUUUAGUACUGUCAUGUCAAUUUCUUUGAUUUUUUCACGCUGAUUCUAUUAGCGCUGUAGUAUGUAUGGAUGCACUACUGUAGAAAACUAUAGAUGCAAUUGAAGUGGUUAAUUAAUUUGUAAAACCUAUCUUCGGUGGACCUUUGUAAUGUACCUCCGUCCAUUCGUGAAUUGAAGCACUAUAUUAACCGGAA